UACGUAGGGGGCAAGCGUUGUCCGGAUUUAUUGGGCGUAAAGAGCGUGUAGGCGGCCAAGCAGGUCCGCUGUGAAAACUCGAGGCUCAACCUCGAGAGGUCGGUGGAAACCGUUUGGCUAGAGUCCGGAAGAGGAGAGUGGAAUUCCUGGUGUAGCGGUGAAAUGCGCAGAUAUCAGGAAGAACACCCGUGGCGAAGGCGGCUCUCUGGGACGGUACUGACGCUGAGACGCGAAAGCGUGGGGAGCGAACAGG
rnacentral:rRNA from 1 species